CUGUCAUCUCUUAUUGUGUCAAUGAAGUAAUUCCCUUUUAAAGGCUUGACCCCUCACCCUGGAGGAGCUCGGCCAAUUGCACAGUGCAUUGGAGAAGCCAUGAGGUGAUAACAAAUGACUCAACCGAGGGGGAAGGUGCUAUGCUGGACUCGCCCUGGACUAGUUACACCACUUUGCCAGGUGCUGCAGAGGGAAUUGGAACCAUAAAAACGCUGUGAAGCCACUAUUGGUUAUUGUGAGCAGAAGGUCAGACAAUAGGCAAAAGGAUAAAGAUUUGAGUGUGUUGGCAGUCAGGAGAAUCUCAUCGGACAGGACGAACCAACACACAUCAACCCCACUGCUGCAACUUUCCACUGACUCACCACAGUAUCAGGUCAGGAAGGCACCAAUAUUUCCUCUUUAUUAGAAACAACAGAAACAACAUGCAGCCAUAAAGCGGACCUCAGAGGUGAAUCUAAAACACAGGGAAAGCAUGCUGCUAUGAGAACUGAGAGGUAGUCACACAAUCCAUUUCAUCCAACCGGCUUGUCUAUAUAUUGGUGCAUUUCCUCAUAACUCUCACACCAGUGACUCACAAACUCUCCAUGCUUCAUCACAGGUCAACUUGGAGAUGAACUUUAAAGGAAGAUGUAACAAAUGGUCGGAACCUCUCAGGCAAUUCAUAUCUGCUGAAGUGUCAUAACCCUCUACAUAUCCUGACCUCAAUUUGGAGUCUGCGUGUUGAAGGCCCAUCUGAGGGAAGAUGGUAUCGAUCUGAGCGGAGACUCUGGCAGCAUCAAUAAACAACAGGCUUCAGUCUUCAAGGCUGAGGAGACACAUCUCUAUUUCAGCCAGAGGGUUCGCAUCUGGAUACCUGAGUUGGGAUGUGGCCCUGGACAGAUGGUAGGACGUGUUUUUUUUGCUGAACUCACAUCAGGUCCAGCCCCCUUGUGAGACCAAAGCCAGUGAUAUCUUCCUACUGUUAUGUCAAGGUAAAUGGGUAUGGGCCUUAAACCACAAGCUCACACGUUUUUACUUUGAAUAAUUAACGUUAAUGAUAAGGGGCAUUGUAAAUAGAAAGCUACCAAGUAACCUUCAGUAUCUGUGAGAACAAUCAAUGCUUAACCAGCAGACAAAUAGUAUUUGAAGAUCUUCUAUAUCAGCAUUACAGUGAAGAAAGACAAUGCUGACUUUGGCUCAUUAAUCAAUAAACACAACAAGCCAACCAAUGCAUCUGACAUAGACUAAUGAAAUAAUAAUCCUCAGAGGAGGAGGAGGAAGAAGAAGCAAAAACAGGCUGCAUUUGGACACUUAGUUACACACACAAAAACAGCCAUAGAUAAAAAUAAAACCAUAGUAAAUAAGUAAUGGGCAAUCUUGCUGGACAAUUUUCUUGCUGUCUUGCUUACUUGCUUUUCCCUCUUUGCUGAGAAAGUUAAAUAAGUGUGCCUCAUAUAUUUAGAGUCAAACUGAGCUCACUUUGUGCUAAGCAGC
rnacentral:lncRNA from 15 species